UAUUGUGCCUAUUUGGUAGCAGCAGCAGUGAGCCAGCAAGUCUAUGAGGGAAAACCAAACAAACUUGAAUGUCUGAGUUUGAGAGAGGUAUUGCCUAUUAUUCCAGCGUGAGCAUCUAAAAGGUGUUUGUUUGGACAAAAUAGGAAUGCCAAGAGACAAAGUAAAAUAUUGAGGUUCAAAUCCAGGAGGAGGAAGUUCCUGAAACAUGGAACAGAGAAGGACUUAGUUUCUGAGGAGCAAGGAGGAGGUGACAAUAAUAGGAAGAGGAAGAAACAGGAGGUGACCAAAGGAGGAGGAUUUGCUCACGAUAUCUUCUGCUUCUGGAUGACAUCCAUGACAUCAUGUAGCAAGGACAAUGACCUACUGCAUUACUGGCAAUGACAAUUACAUUAUUUUACUCAUUUUUCUCUACUGUGUCAUGUUUUCAGAGUUUACUCACAAUAUUGUCUGGAUCUGGAUGACAUUAAAAAUAAAGAUAAAAAAAUGUCUCCCCACAAGCUUUGCUAUAUUUACUGGCAAUUACUGAGUCAAUCAUGGCAGA